rnacentral:rRNA from 1 species
AGAGCGAACGCUGGCGGCAGGCCUAACACAUGCAAGUCGAGCGCCCGUAGCAAUACGGGAGCGGCAGACGGGAUAGUAACACGUGGGAACGCGCCCUUCGGUUCGGAAUAACUCAGGGAAACUUGAGCUAAUACCGAAUACGCCCUUACGGGGAAAGAUUUAUUGCCGAAGGAACGGCCCGCGUCCGAUUAGCUAGUUGGUGAGGUAAUGGCUCACCAAGGCUACGAUCGGUAGCUGGUCUGAGAGGAUGACCAGCAUCACUGGGACUGAGACACGGCCCAGACUCCUACGGGAGGCAGCAGUGGGGAAUAUUGGACAAUGGGCGCAAGCCUGAUCCAGCCAUGCCGCGUGGAUGAUGAAGGCCUUAGGGUUGUAAAGUCCUUUUAACGGGAAGAUAAUGACGGUACCCGUAGAAUAAGCCCCGGCUAACUUCGUGCCAGCAGCCGC